AGUGUCCUUGUCUGCUGAGCUGUCGACCAGCACCGAAUGGGCAUCUGUAGUCAAGCAAAACUUGGCGGUUUAAAAGCUGCUUAGUCAGAGGCUCGAAGCUCAGGAUGUCUCUCCCAGGAGUUCAUGGGAUCACUGUGACUCCAGCUUUGACCUCAGAAACCAAGGACGAAAGGAAAGCUGUAUCUUAUUCUUUUGCACCCCACCGAGGUAUGAGGGAGAUCCUGCUCUAAUCUUUUUGUCUAUCACCCUCCAAAAUAACCACCCCUCACAUAAAGUCUAACGACAACAGAAAAACCUCUCUGGUCUAAAGAUAUAAAAAUCCAGAGUCUGGGAGAGCCAGGGACAAACACGGAAAAUGGAGUUAGCCUGCAGUUUGCCUUCUCCCUCCUCAAGGGUGCUGCUCUAGGUAGCACCUUGUCUCCAUGUUGUGCUCAUGUUAAAAAGAACUCUGGGUAUAGAAUCUACUUAGCAAUCGGACAUGAUGUUGACAGAUUUAAUUACAAAAUUUUAGAUAAUUUGCAAAUCAACUCAUUCCUUCUCCUCCCUAACUAUACAGAUGAGAGAGCUCAGAGAUUAAAUGACUUCCAUGCCCAUGAUUACCAAGCUAUUGAUACAGAAGUACACCAGGAUUGGAAUAAAAAGUCUUUUUGCCUAGCCCAGUCAUUAAGUCUGUUAAAAAUACCUUGAUUAAAAUUUCCAGCUCUUCAAUAAAAUAUAUAUUUGAUAUGUUUUGUUCAUAAAACAAAAAUUGAAAACUAGUCUACUAAAAUGAACCCCAAAUAAAAGAAUGUGACCGUCCAUGUUUAUGUAA
rnacentral:lncRNA from 1 species